rnacentral:tRNA from 1 species
GAGGGUAUAGCUCAGUGGUAGAGUAUAUGCUUAGCAUACAUGGGGUGCUAGUCCUGGGUUCAAUCCCCAGAACCUCCU